rnacentral:tRNA from 1 species
AGGGAUAUGGCUCAGUGGUAGAAUACUUGCCUACCAAGCAUGAGGCCAUGGGUUUGAACCCCAGCAUGGCUG